rnacentral:rRNA from 1 species
CCUACGGGGGGCAGCAGUGGGGAAUAUUGCACAAUGGGGGAAACCCUGAUGCAGCGACGCCGCGUGAGUGAAGAAGUAUUUCGGUACGUAAAGCUCUAUCAGCAGGGAAGAAAAUGACGGUACCUGACUAAGAAGCCCCGGCUAACUACGUGCCAGCAGCCGCGGUAAUACGUAAGGGGCAAGCGUUAUCCGGAUUUACUGGGUGUAAAGGGAGCGUAGACGGCAGCGCAAGUCUGGAGUGAAAUCCCAUGGCUUAACCGUGGAACUGCUUUGGAAACUGUGCAGCUAGAGUGCAGGAGAGGUAAGCGGAAUUCCUAGUGUAGCGGUGAAAUGCGUAGAUAUUAGGAGGAACACCAGUGGCGAAGGCGGCUUACUGGACUGUAACUGACGUUGAGGCUCGAAAGCGUGGGGAGCAAACAGGAUUAGAUACCCCUGUAGUC